CUUUGCCUUUCUGCUUACCGGCGAGCCAGCCCACUUUGAUACCGAGCGGUGCAAACCAGUUGCGGAAGUUAUUGGCGUGCUGCUCGGCGAGUAAUUCGGUUGGUGCCAUCAGUGCCACCUGUUUGCCGUGGGCAAUCGCACGCAGCGCGGCGAGGGCGGCGACCAGCGUUUUACCGGAACCUACAUCGCCCUGUACCAGGCGCAUCAUCGGCACAUCCAGCGCCAUAUCAUGCUCGAUCUCCGCCACUACGCGUG
rnacentral:ncRNA from 1 species